rnacentral:rRNA from 1 species
UUGGAGGGCAAGUCUGGUGCCAGCAGCCGCGGUAAUUCCAGCUCCAAUAGCGUAUAUUAAAGUUGUUGCAGUUAAAAAGCUCGUAGUUGAAUUUCGGGAUCAGAGUGUCGGUCGUGCCUCGGUACGCACUGGUAUUAUUGGUUCCUACCUUCUGAAGAACCGCGAUGUCAUUAAUUUGGUGUCGUGGGGAAUCAGGACUGUUACUUUGAAAAAAUUAGAGUGUUUAAAGCAGGCUUACGCUUGAAUACAUUAGCAUGGAAUAAUGAAAUAGGACGUUUGAUUCUAUUUUGUUGGUUUCUAGGAUUGACGUAAUGAUUAAUAGGGAUAGUUGGGGGCAUUAGCAUUCAAUUGUCAGAGGUGAAAUUCUUGGAUUUAUUGAAGACUAACUACUGCGAAAGCAUUUGCCAAGGAUGUUUUCAUUAAUCAAGAACGAAAGUUAGGGGAUCGAAGACGAUCAGAUACCGUCGUAGUCUUAACCAUAAACUAUGCCGACUAGGGAUCGGAUGAUGUUAAUUUUUUAAUGACUCAUUCGGCGCCUUACGGGAAAC